CUCAAUGGACAUGAAUUUGGGCAGACUCCAGGAGAUAGUGGAAGACAGGGAAGCCUGGCUUGCUGCAGCCCAUGGGGUUGCAAAGGGUCAGACACAGAUUAGCGACUAAACAACAACAACAGUCAGAAGUUUAUGAGUAAGGAAACCCUGCAUGAUGGCUAGAAGUUGGCCUUGGGGUUACAUCCUCCACGUUGUCCUGGGGAGCUUCUGCAGUGUCCACAGUCAUGACUGGUGUGACUCUGAUGGUCGUGGGAUCCAUCCUAAAACCAGUGAAGGCUGUCAUCACACAGUGGCCCUCUUCUUUCUCCACUCACCCCACGACAUUUCCACAAUUAUGGCUGCCUUCUUGAUGCUCAGGCAGUGCUUCUUGUGGUCACUGGGACACAAGACUGUAGCUGGCCGGGCUCCUCUGUCCAUGGAAUUCUCCAGGCAAGACUA